UUUUAUUAUUGGUUCUUUAGGACGAAGAAAGAAGUGCACGGUUGGGUCUGCCUUGGAUUUAAUGAUGCCGUGUUGUCUUAGAUUUGGUUAUUAAGAGGUGUGCUCCUAUUGAUUAAGUGCUCUACUACCUGGAGGCUGUGUUGAUGCUCAGGCAUCUACAAUGUGCUGGUGUGGUGAAGAAUAUGACACUUCAGGAAUGGUGUCUUCAGCAAAAGGUUUCUUCUGGCAGCAACACCAGCUUCUUCACUGGUGUGAAGAAUCACAAAACUGUGACACAACAAGAGGCCACUAUUUCACUUAAUGAAGACGAGGAGAGAUGGUUUGAUAUCUACUAUCAGUUUGUAAGAUCCACUUGAAGAAACCAGACCUGAAAACCAUCAGUAAAUCUGAUAAAGAUACAUUCUUCAUCUCCACAUCAGGGAAUGCAAUCUACAAUCCGUCCAAUGACCUGCAUAGGUUCCAUGACAACGCAUAUCUUCCUCCAGAUGAGAAACCCAGUGAUGAUGAGGAGCAGAGCCCCAGUCACAGAUCCAGCAAUGAGGCCAUCGUGGAAGUCAGGCUCCCAGUCUGUCAGAAACAGGAGAGAGUGCAGCAAAAGAUGAGCUCUUAAAAAAGUAUUUUGCUAUUUUUGAAUGCGAUAGAUCACAAGUAAAUGUAGAACAGUUAAUAUAACAAGAUUUCUUGGCCGUUGCCGUUGGUUUCGUUGCUUUCUCGGGUGAUUUCUUUUGGUUCCAUUUGGAAUUGGAAUUAACUGAAUACUUGUCAUUUAUUAAAUCCCCAUUUUAAUUACAACUCUGUGUUUACCCUCCAUAAAAAAAAGGCUCUGUUGUGAAAAUGUCCUUUCUUUGCAUAAAAACGAAAGCAAACCCUGUUUAACAUGUCUGGGAUUGCGUGGUUAAAAUGAUUCAAGUAAUCUGAGACAGUAGUUCUGCUCACUGAGGGCGUGUCUGUUGAAAAGGCGCAUUCCUGGACUGAGAGUUUCGACGAGGUCCGCUUUGAGUAUAUAUAAACUAGAGCCUUUGAACAAACAGCUACAUUUGGUUAGUAUAAUACUUUAGAAAGGAUUGUGAAAUCAUGUCUGGAUGCGGUAAGGGAGGUAAAGGAUUCAGAAAAGGGUGCGCUAAGCGUCAUUCCGAAGUACUCCGUGUUAACAUCCAGGGCAUCACCAAGCCCACUAUCCGCUGUCUGGCUCGCCGCGGAGCAGUGAAGCGAAUCUCCAGGCUGAUCUAUGAGGAGACCCACAGGGUGCUGAAGGUGUUCCUGGAGAAUGUGAUCUGCGAUGCCGUCACCUACACUGUACGCUCUGAAGCGCCAGGGUUCGGAGGUUAAUCUGGACAC